rnacentral:rRNA from 1 species
GACGAACGCUGGCGGCGUGCCUAAUACAUGCAAGUCGAACGCAGUGGGGAAGGGUGAGUAACACGUGGGUAACCUCCCAUCAGAGGGGAUAACACUUGGAAACAGGUGCUAAACCGAUACUGAUGGCAGGACACGCUGUGCCUUAGCUGGUUGGUGAGGGAACGGCUCACCCAGGACACGAUGCAUAGCCGACAUGCGAGGGUGAUCGGGCAAUGUGGUACUGGUACACGGCCCAGAUGCCGACGGGAGUCAGCAGUAGGGAACCGGCGGAAAUGGACGAAAGCCUGACCGAGCAACGCCGAGUGAGUGAAGAAGGUUUUCGGAUCGUAAAACUCUGUGGUUAGAGAAGCGUUAUCUAACCAGAAAGCCACGGCUAACUACGUGCCAGCCGCCGCGGUAAUAC